AAACUUUCAACAACGGAUCUCUUGGUUCUGGCAUCGAUGAAGAACGCAGCGAAAUGCGAUAAGUAAUGUGAAUUGCAGAAUUCAGUGAAUCAUCGAAUCUUUGAACGCACAUUGCGCCCGCCAGCAUUCUGGCGGGCAUGCCUGUCCGAGCGUCAUUG
rnacentral:rRNA from 1 species